GCCAGCGGGGAGCGGACGUGGGCGGCGGGGUCUCGGGCCUCGCCCCGCAGCCGCGUGAUGUUGCCCUCCAGGAAGCGCCGCUGCACGAUGCUCGCCCAUCUGUGAAGAAGCUCAGCUCCACGCCGUCGUUGGACCAGGGAGUCGUUUUUGGCAGCCGUGUGACGGUCUUUGGACGUGCCCAGUCUCUUGAGACCGUCCAGGGGCAGCAGGUCAGCCGAGUCCUUGUG